GAAAAUCUAAAAAAAAAAUCAUUAAUCCUAAUUUUUAGUUCUCUUCUCUCUCAGCCGUCACACAAACCCAUCUCAGAUCUAGUAGCCAAGCAAAAUCUCUCUCUCCCAUGCAUCUCUCUCUCUGACGCCAGAGCUCUCAAUCUCUAGCAGGACCUCUCUCAAGCUCCCUCCUCUCUCUUGCUCGCCUUCAGAUCUCCUCUCUAGCCGGAUUCUCUCUCUCCCGUGCCUCUCUCUCUCGCCGGACCUCCCUCACGGUUAGCUCUCUCUCUUGGUGUAGGAUGGUGUAGAAGAAGCAUGGCAGAAGAUGAUGUAGAAGAAGCUUGACGGAGGAGGCUCCUCGCCGUGACUUCUCCAACGACUUAAACCGUUGAGAAGCUUAUCGCUGUCAAUCCCUUCAACCCUGAGAUCUUACCUGAUCUUAUGAACACUCGUAUGGUAGCUUGAAUCUUGGUCAAGAGCAUUUGGUGGGAAAGAUUCCCCCUGUCUCGGAGAGUAACCAGGUGGAAGAUUCAUAUAUAUUUCCUCCUCUAAAUCUCCAUUGAGGAAGGCAUUUGAUAUGUCUAGUUGAGAGAGAGACCAGCCCUUUGCAGCCGCAACAGCAGUAAGAAGUCCCUAUAUGGAUUCAAACAGGCAUCUCGCCAAUGGUUCUUGAAAUUCACAGCUGCUUUACAUCAGUUAGGAUUCAAGACUUCUUCUGGCGAUCACACACUUUUCAUCAAGAAUUCUGGCAAUGUUUACAUGGCUGUCUUGGUCUAUGUUGAUGAUAUUAUAAUUGCCAGUAGUUGUGAUCAUGCCAAGGCGCUCUUAAAAACAGCUCUUGAAGCUUCUUUUAAACUCAGAGACUUGGGUACACUUCGAUAUUUCUUUCUUGGGGUAGAGAUCGCUCGUUCUUCUGCUGGGAUUACUCUAUGUCAACGCAAAUACAAUGUGAAAUCUAUAUAAACCAAUACUUUCUUCUAUUUUCUCUGAUGUUUAUGUGAAUUUUCAUUGGUUUAGUCGUUUCUUGUGAUUAUGUAAACCAUAUAUCGAAUAAAAAUAAGAACUUUUAGAUA